AUCAUUAUUCAAGUUGGGAAUGUGUGAUAUCCAUGCACCACCAACUUGAGUGGGGGUGUUAGAAUAUGUCAAAUAUUCUGUGUUAGCUAAAUUAGGCAAUAAAAUAUCAUGUUAUCUGUAAAAUAUUAUGUGUUAGUUAAAUUAGGAAAUCAAAUAUUAUGCUUGUUGUAAAUUAGUCAAUUGUACAUGUGAUAAUUGUUAGUUGUAAUUCCCUAUUCCCUUAAUAGAAGAGGAAUUAUAGGGGCUCUGGUGUAUAUAUAUGUA
rnacentral:lncRNA from 1 species